CAAUAUCAAAGAAUGCAAGCUGUGGAACUUCUUUCAUUUUAAAAAACAUGACAAACAAGUAAAGAAUGUGCACAAGUGGGAAGAAAUUGAUCAAGAGGUAUUGGAUGAUUACUGUCCUUAUUCUACUGAAGCCCCUAAAACAUUGCCAACACAGUGGACAAAUAUUGAAGUUGGUAAUUGGUUAUGGAGCAUUGGAAUGGAGGAGUAUGUUGUAAAAUUUUAUUGUAAAGGAAUAAAUGGUGGAAAACUCCUCAUACUGGACAAUCGCUCGCUAAAAGAAAUCGAAGUCAACAGGAAGAAAGACCGCCGGAAAAUACUUAAGGCUAUUAAGAAAAUUAGAGAUUUUUUGGAAAAAAAUCAUAUUUGGGUCUUACUAUAGAAAUUGAUGGAAAGAAGACACAGAACCUGAAAUAUAUGGCAAAAAUGGAAAAUGCAAUUACUUUUGUUAUAUUGAAUUUUCAUCAUUUUACUUGUAUGUUACUUUUGCUAUAUGAACUUUUAAGGGAUUUUACUUCCAUGUUACUUUUGUUAUAUGAACUUUUAAUCAUUUUAUUACUGUUACUUUUGGUAUUAUUAACUUUUAAUCAUUUCACUUUCAUGUUACAUUUGUUCUAUGAACCUUUAAGGGAUUUUACUUCCAUGUUACUUUUGUUAUAUGAACUUUUAAAGGAUUUACUUCCAUGUUACUUUUGUUAUAUGAACUUUUAAGAGAUUUUACUUCCAUGUUACUUUUUUUAUUACUAAGUUUUUAAUCAUUUCACUUCUUUGUUACUUUUGUUAUAUGAACUUUUAAGUGAUUUACUUCCAUGUUACCUGUGUUAUAUGAACUUUUAAUGGAUUUUACUUCCAUGUAACUUUUGUUAUAUGAACUUUUAAGGGAUUUUACUUCCAUGUUACUUUUGUUAUAUGAACUUUUAAGGGAUUUUCUUCCAUGUUAAUUUUGUUAUAUUUACUUUUAAGGGAUUUUACUUCCAUGUUACUUUUGUUAUAUGAACUUUUAAUCAUUUUAUUACCUUUACUUUUGUUAUUAUUAACUAUUAAUCAUUUCACUUCUAUGUUUCUUUUGUUUCAUUAUUAACUUUUAAUUAUUUCAUUUUUAAGUAAGUAUUAUUUUGAUAGAGGAUAAUUUUUGCACAGGUUAAUAAUUGUUAGUAUCAUACAUAUAAAAUUUGAAAAAAUGGUUAUAAUAU
rnacentral:lncRNA from 1 species